rnacentral:rRNA from 1 species
UACGAAGGGGGCUAGCGUUGUUCGGAAUUACUGGGCGUAAAGCGUAUGCAGGCGGACUUUUAAGUCGGGGGUGAAAUCCCGAGGCUCAACCUCGGAACUGCCUUCGAUACUGGAAGUCUUGAGUCCGGGAGAGGUGAGUGGAACUCCGAGUGUAGAGGUGAAAUUCGUAGAUAUUCGGAAGAACACCAGUGGCGAAGGCGGCUCACUGGCCCGGUACUGACGCUGAGGCACGAAAGCGUGGGGAGCAAACAGG